rnacentral:rRNA from 1 species
CUUUUUGAUUAUAAUUUAAAGUCUGGCCUGCCCAAUGAUUGUAUAAUUUAAUGGCCGCGGUAAUUUGACCGUGCAAAGGUAGCAUAAUCAAUAGUUUUUUAAUUGAAAGCUGGAAUGAAUGGUUGGAUGAGGGAAGAACUGUCUCUAUUAAAAUUUUUUUGAAUUUUAUUUUUAAGUAAAAAAGCUUAAAUUAGGUUAGAAGACGAGAAGACCCUAUAGAGUUUUAUAAUGGUAGAUAUAAGAUAUUUAAGAAUUUAUAUGGUUUAAUAUUUAUCUUUAUUUGAUUGGGGUGAUUUGGAAAUUAAAUAAACUUUCUAUUAAUAGUUACAUUAAUUAAUGGUUAAUUGAUCCUUUAUAAAGAUUAAAAGAAAUAAUUACCUUAGGGAUAACAGCGUUAUUUUUCUAGAGAGUUCAAAUCGAAAGGGAAGAUUGCGACCUCGAUGUUGGAUUAAAAUUUAUUUUUGGUGUAGGGGCUAAA